CUCCUCUCUGCUCAGAAACUUCUUUCCAAAUUCUUCCAUCACCGUUCUACCUUCUCACAAGGUCAGAAAUGCAUGCAUGGAGCCGACUGUUCCCAGGUAGACUCCUUCCGUGGAUCUAACGCCAACAUCAGGAGGAGCAGCACGGACUGGAAUUUCUCCAAGGCCCUGACUUCCAGCUCAAGGUUGAAGCCUCUCCUCAAGCUAGACCAGCAGGGCAGGCAAACUCGCAGCCUGUCCGCAGCCUGUCCCCUUGAAUUAAGCUGUAUUUCCCACUCCAGCAGUCUUCCACUUACCAAGGAUAGACAGAAAGAAACCUGGGAUCACAUCAAACCUUAAUGGAGAGACUUUUCACCUUCCUCUUAAUCAAAAUAUCAAGUUUUCUCCAACAUUCAAUCUUUUCUUGUGUCACACAGCUCUUACCUCGAAAUGGUGGGUACUUGGCAUGGCGAGAACAAU